rnacentral:lncRNA from 1 species
UUGAACAGUACUUGGAUGUUCAUAAACAUUAGGCUUGUAUAUUGUACAAAAGGAUUAUUACUUGCCAAUCGGUUCAAUGUAUGUGAUUUAAAUCUAACCUAUUUGCCUAUAUACUCAGUUUGUUUUCAGUAAUAAAACUAAUUAUUUGUCCCUCUUAUCAUCUUAUGUAACAUUCUCCUUGUUGACUGAUGAUUUACUGAAUAUGAUCUUCACCUAAAAAAGUGUUGAUGAUGUCUCUGAUAGUCAUUCCUGUAAAAAGAGAUCAAAGGGUAAGUUUUUUAGACAAUUACAUAUUGGGGCAUAGAUGCAGUAAUAUUGAAACAGCCGUGAAUAUCGAAGGGAAUGCCAAAAUGUGGCAUAUUCAUUCAGUUACACAUCCUGGUUUUUCAAACAGCUAAAGUUUCAAGGCAUUGAUAGUUACAGAUCAGCAAUCAUUGACAUCAUUCAUGGGCAGUUAAAGUAUUGAAAUCAGAAAGGAAAGGGCAUGACAUGUUACUGAGCUUAAAAAGAAAAACUCAGAAGGCUUUUCACAUCAACAACCAGCUAUAAAAGGGCCAUAUAUCACAUACAAAAUAGGGACAGCCGCAAGAAAAUCAGAGAGAUUACACAUACAGGGUGACACACCAUAGUUACAGAGCAUUCAGAAUACACAUACACAACAAAUACCCAAAAGAGAGUGAUAUACAUUCAUAUAUCCACACAUAUCAUACAAAUCAGAGGGCACAACACAGAAUUUGUAUCUGCUCUCUAUCACACGCAUAGAGAGAAGAGAAAAGCACACAGCUAUCAGUCCUCAUACACUGACCUCACACACAUAACCGAGGACGAUUCCGGAAGCAUAUCUCACAUACACGAGAAAGGGAUAGGUUGCUGAUCAAGAACAUAGAGAUAAAGGCAAGGUUAUACACAGCAGGAAUACUGUGAGGUAAGAAGGUGUUUUUUAUUUGGUGAUCAAUCUGUCUUUUGAACUUAGACGAUAAAUUUAUAAACAAUUUUGCUUAGCCAUACAGAAUUACAUACAUCCCAUUCCCACCCAAUUGAUUUCGCAGAGACACAUAUACUGUCAUUUAACCAAAAGUAACUAAUGCUCUGUAACUACUUUAAAGCAAUGAAAUUUGUUUCUGGAUGAACAUUCAUACCAAUUGGUUUUUUUUCUCAUCAAAUUUCUAAUUACUUCACACUAUGACAAAUACGUAAAGUUAGAUUGGAAGAGGGAUAGGGUUCUUUACCAAAAUCCUUUGCCAAUAACCAACCGNNNNNNNNNNNNNNNNNNNNNNNNNNNNNNNNNNNNNNNNNNNNNNNNNNNNNNNNNNNNNNNNNNNNNNNNNNNNNNNNNNNNNNNNNNNNNNNNNNNNGGUCUGUAUGCUUCCUCACACACUAACGUUGUACACUUGAGUUUGCACACACAUAUGCCCUGUCCCGGGUAUUAGUGAUUAGGAUUUGAGAUAGAAGGGACAUCUGCUUUGCUCGUAAAUGACUUCGAGUCAUAUCUGGUAUUGGCGGAACGGACCACCCAGAUCGUUUCCGGUAUCAUGAGUUAGCGGCUUGGAGGGCUCGAUCCUUCUCGUUUCUAGCACUUUAUCCUUCACCAUUUAUAAAUUGAGAUGUUUGUCCCUAAAAAGUCUUCAUGCUUGAAUGUUUCAAGGAUGUCAUUGUACUUUGACGUCCUUGUGCCAUAAAGAUGGCUAAAUAAUUUCUAUUCCUUACCAUGGGCUAAGCGCCCUAGGGAUAAGUUUUCCAUUCCCUACCAUGGGCUCAUUUCCCUAGGGAUGAUUUUUUCAUUCCUAUCGACGGGCUCAUUGCCCUAUGGAUAUGUUCUCUUCCAUCUUAAUAAGCUCACAACUUUAUCAUUUAACUCUCGAGAUUUGGGGAUAUUCCCCAUCCUGGUUUUGUUUUAUUUAUUUAUUAUUUUCCUAUUCCUAUUAUUUUAAUUAUUUGAUUUAAUCUAAUCCUAACCUUAUUAUUCGGAAAUCUCUACAAACUUAAGAUAAAUGCUGAUUGAGUUGAACAAUUAUACAACAUAUAUGUUUAUGAUACAAAUGUGCUUUAACUUGUUAGUGAAAAGUUUUAAUAAACAAUGCACUUAUAAAAAUUCAAAAUCACCCUAUCAUAUAAUUCCAUACAUAACUAAAUCAAAAUAAAUAUUAUCACUUAAAUUCAUAUACAACUAAAAAAAGAAUAUACAAUCACACAUUUAUAUUCAUUUAUAUACAUUCAUAAUAACAAAUCAUUCAAAUGUUGCAUUUCAUGCACCAUCGUACAUGCACCACAAAAUAUCGAAAAAGAAAAAUAAAUUAGUGCAUGCAUCUUCACAUGAACUCAAAACAAAAAAAAUAACAUGUAUGCAUAUUGCAUGAAUCAAAUAUUACAUCCUCAUGACUUUCAUACAUUUCAAUCAUUCAUGUAACUCAUGCAUAAAUCAUUAUCAGAGAUACUCAUGAGUUGAAAAUUGGUUUUUAAAGGUGACAUUAUUGGACUUGACUGAAACGGUCUAAGAAGGAAGAAAAAGUCUUACUCUCGAGACUACAGAAGAUAAACCAGCUACUCAUAUUGAUACCCCAUCCCCAAAGACAUAUUUGCAAAUUUCAUAUCAUAUGGAAACCCCAGUUAACGAUGGUAACUCCAAUCAUUCCUCUAAGUCCCACAAUGUUAUGAACCCUCAAGAUUGGGAGAAGAUCAAGGCAAUCGAAGAGAGAAUUAAAGUCGUUGAGGAAGCAAGCUCCUACAGUUUGAAGGAUGUUACAAGCAUGUGUUUGGUCCCGAAUGUGAUAUUUCCACCAAAGUUCAAGAUGCCCGAAUUUGAGAAAUAUCAAGGAACUUCUUGUCCUAGGGAUCACCUAACCAUGUAUGUUAGGAAGAUGACUCCCUAUAUCGAGGAUGACAAUCUACUAAUCCAUGUCUUCCAGGAGAGCCUCACUGGAGCUGCCAUCACUUGGUAUAUGCGUCUCGAAUGUUCUCAUAUCAAAUGUUUCAAGGAUUUGUGCAACACUUUCUUUAAACAAUACAACUACAAUAUUGACCAAGAUCCUGAUAGGAUGCUACUCAAGAAGAUGUCCAAGAGAAAUGAUGAGACCUUCAGGGAGUAUGUCCAAAGAUGGGCAGGAUUGGCCGCUCAAGUGAAGCCCAAGUUGUCCGAUGAAGAGAAUGUUUCAAUGUUUAUCAACACCCUACAACCUCCCUUAUUUGAUCUGAUGAUUGGAAAUGUCUAUUCGGAUUUCCGUCAUUUGAUAACUACAGGAGAGAGAAUUGAGAAUCACUCCGAGAAUGACAAAAUUGAGAAAAACUCAGCCAACAGAAUAAUCCAAAGCGAUCUUGCAAGUGAAGAUAUGGAAGAGGAAAUCGCAUUCACAGAGACCCUCAGCCAACCUCAAAUGCCUUAUUUUCCACAAGCAUCAUGUUAUGCUUUUACAAAUGGUAAAAAAGGCGAAAGCGAAAAAGGAAGAGUUUGUAUGAUCCGAUCCCGAUGUCAUAUUCCGAGUUAUUGCCACAACUUCUUCAAAGAUCAUUGCUGACUCCUAUCCCCUCAAAGAUGGUGGAACCUCCAUACCCACAAGGAUUCAACCCAAAUGCUAAUUGUGAAUAUCAUACUGGGGCAAUUGGCCACUUCACAGAGGAUUGUGAUCAAUUAAAAAGCAAAGUGCAAUAUCUGAUUAACACCAGAUUAAUCCGCUUUCAAGGAAACGUCCUAGUUUAAGAAAUGCACAAAUCACCCCAAGUUGUCGUCUUGGCACUAGCAAAUGAUGUAAUAAANNNNNNNNNNNNNNNNNNNNNNNNNNNNNNNNNNNNNNNNNNNNNNNNNNNNNNNNNNNNNNNNNNNNNNNNNNNNNNNNNNNNNNNNNNNNNNNNNNNNUGCAAAAUAACAUAAAAAACAAAAGGAAAAAUAUACAAAAGGCCCGCUGAGAAUCCUCAAUAAAAAUUCUCAGGCAAAAGUUAGGGCAAAUAAAGUGCACUAUCAAUAUCCGCAAAAAGGAACAAUUCAAAUACCUCUCGGGAAGAUUAUCGCCUAAAUAUUAGGCAUUCACCUAUUACAUCACAAAAAUCGAACAAAAUCUUAGUACUUGAAUGUCAUGUCAGAAAAUCGUUGAAAAUAAGACUAUGGAGAAAGGAGAAUGUAGAAAGGGGUUUGGGAAACACAUUUUUGAGCCUUAUCCUUUUUUCUUGGAAACCCUUAGCCAGACCACGAUACAAGCUCAAAAGACCUUGUCGAGGAUAUGAUCUGCCUAAGAAACGUACUAGGGCAAAGAAAUGCUGACUCCAAUAAAUAUCAUAAAGUUUUGAUGAAAAUAUCUCAUUUUAAUGCAUGGAUUAAAUCUCAAUCUCUCAUCAUCACUACCCUCAUAUCAACACUCAAAACCCAAAAACAAAAAUCCAAAUUUGCUUGAUCACUGUUUUUAGUAUUUAUUUUUAAGGAGUUGUGCAUGAAGAAAACACAUGACAAGUUGGAAUCAAACGAAAGGUGUCAAUCCAAACUGGGGCAUUUUGUGGAGGCUGAUCUCAUUUCUGGAAAGAAGGUACCCAGAAACCUAUAACUGGGGUAAGACUGAAGUUAGUCAUCAUGAAUCAUUCAAAAAUCCCUCAACCAAGCGAAGGCAAGAUCUUGCAUCAUCGCCUUCAAACUUCAAAUGUGACUCAUGCUUUCAUGCACUUAUGAUUGUCACUUGAGAGUGUUCAAAAAUAUCCAAAAGAAAAAACAAGCAAAAAAAGAAAGAAAAAAGAGUGCUAGGUUGAAAACCCGCAAGGGCAACCUAAGAAAAGGAGAGCAAUGAUAAGUCGAAAAGCUUCAACGGCGACUUAGUAUCAUAAUAAAAUGAGAGAAUUCCUGACAGGUACCUACAAUAGGUAUUUUGGGUAAAAAUUAGGGGGAAAAAUGAACACCCUCAUGGGAAAAUUCACUAUUGUUCAUCCUCAACCAUGCAAACUGGGGUAAUUUAAUUGAAGAUCAUACUCUCCCAAUAAAUUCUUGACAAGAUACUGGGGCAGUUUAUUGGACGAUCAGACUCUUCCAAUAAACUCUUGACAUGACACUGAUGCAUUUAAUUGAUUCACUUAUCGUAAAUUGAGGCAGUUCUUCAAAGGAUCAAAGUCAUAUCAUAGAGCAAGCAAAUCAUCAACAAAUAUGUCAACUAAAGCCAAUCAUAAAAAGGUUGUGAAACUGAAAAGUUUUAAGGGUGAUGAAAAGUAGUUUCGAGUACAACUGAAUCAAAAAUUCAAAUCCAAUUUUUCAAACAAAAAAAACUCCAAGUCAUUUCGAGCUACCAAUUCAACAAUUCUGGUUCAUACACCACUUCAACAUGUAAACAUAACCGAAGGUCAUACAUCACUACGUUAUGCAAACUAAACCAAAUUUCAUACAUCACUCAUAACAUACAUACAUAUCACUAAAUCAAGUCAAGACAUACUCGUUUAUAGUGAGGUUAUGGUUCGAGUUGUCUCUAACUUCUCAGAAAAUGAGAAGAAGGUCUACAACGAAUACCGUCUCUGAGACUAUUAAUUAUAUAUAUAUAUAUAUACAUAAUUAAUAAACUUUGUCAUUAAAUUCUAUAUAUGUGAAUAAUUAGAAAUUAUAUUAUCAAAUUAAUUUUAGGGAUUUUAUAGUAAGGUUAUGGUUCGAGUUGUCUCUAACCUCUCUGAAAACGAGAAGAAGGUCUACAACCAACAUCGUCUCUAAACUAUUAAUUCUAUAUUAAUAACUAAUAAACUAUUUUAUCAUUCAAUUCUAUAGGCAUAAAUAAUUGAAAAUUAUAUUAUCAAAUUGAUUAAGGAAUUCUUAUAGUAAGGUUAUUGUUCGAGUUGUCUCUAACUUCUCCGAAAAUGAGAAGAAGGUCUACAACCAACACCGUCUCUAAACUAUUAAUUCUAUAUAAAUAAUCGAAAACUAUUUUACCAAAUAAAUUUCUUGAGAUUUUUAUAGUGAGGUCACGGUUCGAGUUGUCUCUAACUCGUCUGAAAAUGGGAAGAAGGUCUACGACCAAUAGCGUUUCUAAAACUAUUAGCCUCAUCGAAUCGAAACAAUUACAUAUUUUGAACAAAAUUCAAAUUAACCAAUUCAAUAAACUAAUACUUAUAAAACAUAAUGGUAUUUUCCCAAAUCACUAACAAUCAAUCAAAGUAGAAACAAUUUUUUGAACUAGAACUACGUAAGCCUUGAUCCCCUUAAUAGGGGUACGUAGGACCAAAGUCAAUAUUGUCAGGCUCAAUAAUAAAAAAUAUUAUGUUUUACUAAUUUAAUUUCUAAAUAAAUAAUUUUUAAGGGUAUAAAAGUUCAUUUGAUUAGCGAGGGUACCGUUUUAAUACGGGUGGACGGGGUGCUAGUACCUUCCCUGAUCCGUAAUCGACUCCCGAGCUCAGAAUCUCUAUUCAUAGACCAUUUUAUCCAAAUUGGGCAUAAUAAGAGUUUUCUACGUUUUAACAGCAAAAACGUAGUGGCGACUCCAAAUCAAUCGGGAGAGGUAGAAAUUACUUUUAUUGUCUCGAGUUCCGGCAGUAUCCGACCUGCGUUCUCGCAUUUACUUUUAUUGUCUCGAGUUCCAGCAGUACCCGACCUGNNNNNNNNNNNNNNNNNNNNNNNNNNNNNNNNNNNNNNNNNNNNNNNNNNNNNNNNNNNNNNNNNNNNNNNNNNNNNNNNNNNNNNNNNNNNNNNNNNNNGAGUUCCAGCAGUACCCGACCUGCGUUCUCGCAUUUACUUUUAUUGUCUCGAGUUCCGACAGUAUCCCACCUGCGUUCUCGCUUUACCUUUUCAUCAUAUCAAAUUACAGCUUUACCCAACUACUGUUCUCGAUUUUAAAUCAUAUUACGACCAUUUAUCUCGGCCUUGACAACAUUCAUGUCCAUUUCUUUACUAGUUACUUACUAUGAUAACACGCAAACCUCGGUGUGCUUGCUAUCUAGUAAGCAACAAGUAAAGAGGGGCAGCUGUGAACACUCAAUUUUGUCCGGCCACUUGUCAAAUAAAAUGCAGGAAUAUAGUUAUAGUACUUGUUAAGGAAGUGGCAAGAAGUCAAAUCCCUUUGUGACAAUAACGUCCUUGCGAACAUGAUGUUAGAUUGAGGUCAUGGAUUCAUUGUUAGAUUGAAGUCAUGGAUAAUUACAAGAAAAUAGGAUCCAUUUGUCAAUACUGGUGCUGGAAGGGACCACGCUGGAGUUUAUGUAAAAACUCUAUUAUGAGUGUCAAUUUUGUUUAUUAUAUUAUAUCACAUUGAAUAGUACUUGUAUGUUCAUAAACAUUAGGCUUGUAUAUUGUACAAAAGGAUUAUUACUUGCCAAUCGGUUCAAUGUAUGUGAUUUAAAUCUAACCUAUUUGCCUAUAUACUCAGUUUGUUUUCAGUAAUAAAACUAAUUAUUUGUCCCUCUUAUCAUCUUAUGUAACAUUCUGCUUGUUGACUGAUGAUUUACUGAAUAUGAUCUUCACCUAAAAAAGUGUUGAUGAUGUCUCUGAUAGUCAUUCCUGUAAAAAGAGAUCAAAGGGUAAGUUUUUUAGACAAUUACAUAUUGGGGCAUAGAUGCAGUAAUAUUGAAACAGCCGUGAAUAUCGAAGGGAAUGCCAAAAUGUGGCAUAUUCAUUCAGUUACUCAUCCUGGUUUUUCAAACAGCUAAAGUUUCAAGGCAUUGAUAGUUACAGAUCAACCAUCAUUGACAGCAUUCAUGGGCAGUUAAAGUAUUCAAAUCAGAAAGGAAAGGGCAUGACACGUUACUGAGCUUAAAAAGAACAACUCAGAAGGCUUUUCACAUCAAUAACCAGCUAUAAAAGGGCCAUAUAUCACAUACAAAAGAGGGACAGCCGCAAGAAAAUCAGAGAGAUUACACAUACAGGGUGACACACCAUAGUUACAGAGCAUUCAGAAUACACAUACACAACAAAUACCCAAAAGAGAGUGAUAUACAUUCAUAUAUCCACACAUAUCAUACAAAUCAGAGGGCACAACACAGAAUUUGUAUCUGCUCUCUAUCACACGCAUAGAAAGAAGAGAAAAGCACACAACUAUCUGUCCUCAUACACUGACCUCACACACAUAACCGAGGACGAUUCCGGAAGCAUAUCUCACAUACACGAGAAAGGGAUAGGUUGCUGAUCAAGAACAUAGAGAUAAAGGUAAUCACGGCAAGGUUAUACAUAGGAAUGCUGUCAGGUAAGGAGGUGUUUUUUAUUUGGUGAUCAAUCUGUGUUUUGAACUUAGACGAUAAAUUUAUAAACAAUUUUGCUUAGCCAUACAGAAUUACAUACAUCCCAUUCCCAUUCAAUUGAUUUCGCAGAGACACAUAUACUGUCAUUUAACCAAUAACAAAAGUAACUAAUGCUAUAUAACUACUUUAAAGCAGUGAAAUUUGUUUCUGGAUGAACAUUCAUACCAAUUGGUUUUUUUUCUCAUCAUAUUGCUAAUUACUUCACACUAUGACAAAUAUGUAAAGUUAGAUUGGAAGAGGGAUAGGGUUCUUUACCAAAAUCCUUUGCCAAUAACCAACCGUGGAGUCAUGAUUACACUGUUUUCAUUGCGGAAUUAAUGCCAUCAUUCGCCGAC